UACGAAGGGGGCUAGCGUUGCUCGGAAUCACUGGGCGUAAAGCGCACGUAGGCGGAUCUUUAAGUCAGGGGUGAAAUCCUGGAGCUCAACUCCAGAACUGCCUUUGAUACUGGGGAUCUCGAGUCCGGAAGAGGUGAGUGGAACUCCGAGUGUGGAGGUGAAAUUCGUAGAUAUUCGGAAGAACACCAGUGGCGAAGGCGGCUCACUGGUCCGGUACUGACGCUGAGGUGCGAAAGCGUGGGGAGCAAACAGGG
rnacentral:rRNA from 1 species